rnacentral:rRNA from 1 species
GACGUAGGGUCCAAGCGUUGUCCGGAUUUACUGGGCGUAAAGAGCGCGUAGGCGGUCCGUUAAGUGUAGAGUGAAAGCUCCGGGCUCAACUCGGAAAUUGCUCUGCAUACUGGCGGACUCGAGGACGGAAGAGGUUUGUGGAAUUCCUGGUGUAGCGGUGAAAUGCGUAGAUAUCAGGAGGAACACCCAUGGCGAAGGCGGCCCCCUGGUUGGAUACUGACGCUGAUACGCGAAAAGCGUGGGGAGCAAACAGG